rnacentral:rRNA from 1 species
GUCUGCAUGGAGCCGACCUUGAAAUACCACCCUUUAAUGUUUGAUGUUCUAACGUGGACCCGUAAUCCGGGUUGCGGACAGUGUCUGGUGGGUAGUUUGACUGGGGCGGUCUCCUCCUAAAGAGUAACGGAGGAGCACGAAGGUUGGCUAAUCCUGGUCGGACAUCAGGAGGUUAGUGCAAUGGCAUAAGCCAGCUUGACUGCGAGCGUGACGGCGCGAGCAGGUGCGAAAGCAGGUCAUAGUGAUCCGGUGGUUCUGAAUGGAAGGGCCAUCGCUCAACGGAUAAAAGGUACUCCGGGGAUAACAGGCUGAUACCGCCCAAGAGUUCAUAUCGACGGCGGUGUUUGGCACCUCGAUGUCGGCUCAUCACAUCCUGGGGCUGAAGUAGGUCCCAAGGGUAUGGCUGUUCGCCAUUUAAAGUGGUACGCGAGCUGGGUUUAGAACGUCGUGAGACAGUUCGGUCCCUAUCUGCCGUGGGCGCUGGAGAACUGAGGGGGGCUGCUCCUAGUACGAGAGGACCGGAGUGGACGCAUCACUGGUGUUCGGGUUGUCAUGCCAAUGGCACUGCCCGGUAGCUAAAUGCGGAAGAGAUAAGUGCUGAAAGCAUCUAAGCACGAAACUUGCCCCGAGAUGAGUUCUCCCUGAGACUUAG